rnacentral:misc_RNA from 1 species
UUUUUUUUUUUUUUUUAAAUCAUAAUUUGGUAAAUUUGAGUGCCAUUUGUGAUUAUGGGGUUAAUUGCGUAAUGAUGUUGUGAAUUAUGGCUGCCAGAGCCUCUAAUUGGGAGAAUUGGAUACUGGAAAUGUUGAAUCAUAUCCUACUUUGCUGGUGAGUUCCCUCCAUAUUUGCAUUAUCAUAGAUUGUUUUGUGGCUUUCUAUGUAACUAUUUGCAUGUUUCUCUUUUACAUUGCUUAUUGUUCAUAUUGCUAUAGGAUAUAUGAAAUGCUGAGUAAAUAGAGCAAAAGAAAGGAUAUUGUAAUUUGGAAACUUUUUUGCUUCUUUCUAUUUGCAGUUUCCAGUGAAAAACUCACCUGAGCUUAUCCCAGUAACUGCUAUUAGAAAUUAGGACAAGUCUAGUGUAAUUCAUUGUUUUAAGGGUUUCAAAUGUUGUAGUGUUCAAGAUUCAUAAUUUUUUUUGGGGGGUUAGUUAUUUUACAUGUGAGUGAGUGCGUGCUAAUUUUGUUUGUGGAUCACUAGUUUAGGCUAGACUCACGGGCAUGACAUGGAAAUAUAUGAGUUUUCUUAACACUCUUUGAUUGCUAAUGCUUGUGAAUUAUCACUUAAAAUGGAAGCUCAACAAACAUGGUGGCAUACUUGUCAUGCCAUUAAAUAUGUCAAACACCAAGCGGAGAUGGUUUUAUGGCAUAAGCCAUGCAUUUAAGAGUGAAACCGGUCAAUCAUAAUAGAAAUUGAUGAAGCAGAAAGGCUUACUUCUGAAGUUUUGUGUCUAUCUCCACAUUGAUGAUGGAAGAGUAUCAAAACUUCCUGUGGGUUCCUUCUUUUUCCUACCCUUGAAGGGGAAUACACACAUUCAAGGUGUUUCAAUCCUCCAUCUCUAGGAGCUCCAUUUGUUAAUGUCUUCUAUUAACAUUAUUAUUUUCCAUUAAUCACUACUAAACAUUAAGAAGGCUUAUAAAACUUUUGAAUCUUUUAAGGCUCUAUCAUCUUCAAUAUGGGAUUAAUUUUCCCACAUCAAUUAUCAUUUUAGGGAGGCACAAAAAACAAAUGAUGCACUGCAUCACAAACCUAGAAGAGCUUGUGAUAGAGUAAAGAGCUUAAAUCAAAGAAUUAAACAAGAAUUAAGAAGAGAGGAAGGCAAUUUUCAUUAAUGAAACAGGAAUACAGCACAAUCCUAUUAC